AGCGAACGCUGGCGGCAGGCCUAACACAUGCAAGUCGAACGAACUCUUCGGAGUUAGUGGCGGACGGGUGAGUAACACGUGGGAACGUGCCUUUUGGUUCGGAAUAACUCAGGGAAACUUGUGCUAAUACCGAAUGUGCCCUUCGGGGGAAAGAUUUAUCGCCAUUAGAGCGGCCCGCGUCUGAUUAGCUAGUUGGUGAGGUAACGGCUCACCAAGGCGACGAUCAGUAGCUGGUCUGAGAGGAUGACCAGCCACACUGGGACUGAGACACGGCCCAGACUCCUACGGGAGGCAGCAGUGGGGAAUCUUGCGCUAUGGGCGAAAGCCUGACGCAGCCAUGCCGCGUGAAUGAUGAAGGUCUUAGGAUUGUAAAAUUCUUUCACCGGGGACGAUAAUGACGGUACCCGGAGAAGAAGCCCCGGCUAACUUCGUG
rnacentral:rRNA from 1 species